GGUGAUGUAGCUCAGUUGGCUAGAGCACAGGAUUCAUAAACCUGGGGUCGAGAGUUCGAAUCUCUCCAUCACCA
rnacentral:tRNA from 1 species